UGGGGAAUUUUGGACAAUGGGCGAAAGCCUGAUCCAGCAAUGCCGCGUGUGUGAAGAAGGCCUUCGGGUUGUAAAGCACUUUUGUCCGGAAAGAAAUCCUUGGCUCUAAUACAGUCGGGGGAUGACGGUACCGGAAGAAUAAGCACCGGCUAACUACGUGCCAGCAGCCGCGGUAAUACGUAGGGUGCAAGCGUUAAUCGGAAUUACUGGGCGUAAAGCGUGCGCAGGCGGUUUGCUAAGACCGAUGUGAAAUCCCCGGGCUCAACCUGGGAACUGCAUUGGUGACUGGCAGGCUAGAGUAUGGCAGAGGGGGGUAGAAUUCCACGUGUAGCAGUGAAAUGCGUAGAGAUGUGGAGGAAUACCGAUGGCGAAGGCAGCCCCUGGGCCAAUACUGACGCUCAUGCACGAAAGCGUGGGGAGCAAACAGGAUUAGAUACCCUGGUAGUCCACGCCCUAAACGAUGUCAACUAGUUGUUGGGGACUUCAUUUCCUUAGUAACGUAGCUAACGCGUGAAGUUGACCGCCUGGGGAGUACGGUCGCAAGAUUAAAACUCAAAGGAAUUGACGGGGUCAUAGCUGUUUCCU
rnacentral:rRNA from 1 species